UACGUAGGGUGUAAGCGUUGUCCGGAAUUAUUGGGCGUAAAGAGCUCGUAGGCGGUUUGUCGCGUCUGCUGUGAAAACCCGAGGCUCAACCUCGGGCCUGCAGUGGGUACGGGCAGACUAGAGUGCGGUAGGGGAGAUUGGAAUUCCUGGUGUAGCGGUGGAAUGCGCAGAUAUCAGGAGGAACGCCGAUGGCGAAGGCAGAUCUCUGGGCCGUAACUGACGCUGAGGAGCGAAAGCGUGGGGAGCGAACAGG
rnacentral:rRNA from 1 species